CUUCAACGACCACUUGGAAUAAUCUAUCUGCAACUCCAUUACAUCCACCAGUGAAGCUGCUCCACCAUCACAUUCCUGAAUAACAUGGAGGCGCCCACCCCAAUCGCCAAAAUAACAAAUCUUUCUCCCAUUUUCAGGAACAAUAGUACUAGGCAUUGUCCUAAACCUCUCAUUCUCGACAUCAAACGCUAGAAAAGGCUUGUUCUCGCCAACCCAAUGAAUACAACCUCGCGAAAACACGCCCCUUUUCAACAAGUAAUCAUAUUUAUCAUU
rnacentral:lncRNA from 1 species